AUUGAACGCUGGCGGCAUGCCUUACACAUGCAAGUCGAACGGUAACGCGGGGCAACCUGGCGACGAGUGGCGAACGGGUGAGUAAUAUAUCGGAACGUGCCCAAUUGUGGGGGAUAACGUAGAGAAAUUUACGCUAAUACCGCAUACGAUCUAAGGAUGAAAGCGGGGGAUCGCAAGACCUCGCGCAAUUGGAGCGGCUGAUAUCAGAUUAGCUUGUUGGUGAGGUAAAAGCUCACCAAGGCGACGAUCUGUAGCUGGUUUGAGAGAACGACCAGCCACACUGGGACUGAGACACGGCCCAGACUCCUACGGGAGGCAGCAGUGGGGAAUUUUGGACAAUGGGCGAAAGCCUGAUCCAGCAAUGCCGCGUGCAGGAAGAAGGCCUUCGGGUUGUAAACUGCUUUUGUACGGAACGAAACGGUCUGCCCUAAUACGGCGGGCUAAUGACGGUACCGUAAGAAUAAGCACCGGCUAACUACGUGCCAGCAGCCGCGGUAAUACGUAGGGUGCGAGCGUUAAUCGGAAUUACUGGGCGUAAAGCGUGCGCAGGCGGUUAUGUAAGACAGUUGUGAAAUCCCCGGGCUCAACCUGGGAAUUGCAUCUGUGACUGCAUAGCUAGAGUACGGUAGAGGGGGAUGGAAUUCCGCGUGUAGCAGUGAAAUGCGUAGAUAUGCGGAGGAACACCGAUGGCGAAGGCAAUCCCCUGGACCUGUACUGACGCUCAUGCACGAAAGCGUGGGGAGCAAACAGG
rnacentral:rRNA from 1 species